rnacentral:tRNA from 1 species
CGCGGGGUGGAGCAGCUCGGUAGCUCGCUGGGCUCAUAACCCAGAGGUGUCAGUUCAAAUCUGGCCCCCCGACCA